rnacentral:rRNA from 1 species
UCUCCUGGAAACGGGUGGUAAUGCCGGAUGCUCCAGUUGACCGCAUGGUCCUCUGGGAAAGCUUUUGCGGUAUGGGAUGGGGUCGCGUCCUAUCAGCUUGAUGGCGGGGUAACGGCCCACCAUGGCUUCGACGGGUAGCCGGCCUGAGAGGGCGACCGGCCACAUUGGGACUGAGAUACGGCCCAGACUCCUACGGGAGGCAGCAGUGGGGAAUAUUGCACAAUGGGCGCAAGCCUGAUGCAGCGACGCCGCGUGCGGGAUGACGGCCUUCGGGUUGUAAACCGCUUUUGACUGGGAGCAAGCCCUUCGGGGUGAGUGUACCUUUCGAAUAAGCACCGGCUAACUACGUGCCAGCAGCCGCGGUAAUACGUAGGGUGCAAGCGUUAUCCGGAAUUAUUGGGCGUAAAGGGCUCGUAGGCGGUUCGUCGCGUCCGGUGUGAAAGUCCAUCGCUUAACGGUGGAUCCGCGCCGGGUACGGGCGGGCUUGAGUGCGGUAGGGGAGACUGGAAUUCCCGGUGUAACGGUGGAAUGUGUAGAUAUCGGAAAAGAACACCA